AUGCCCUAGUACGGCGAGUGAGCGGCAAUAGCUCAAAUUUGAAAGCUGGCCUCUGGUCCGCAUUGUAAUUUGUAGAGGAUGCUUUUAGGCAGCCGCCGGUCUAAGUUCCUUGGAACAGGACGUCAUAGAGGGUGAGAAUCCCGUAUGUGACCGGCUCAGGCACCUUCUGUAAAGCUCCUUCGACGAGUCGAGUUGUUUGGGAAUGCAGCUCUAAAUGGGAGGUAAAUUUCUUCUAAAGCUAAAUACCGGCGAGAGACCGAUAGCGCACAAGUAGAGUGAUCGAAAGAUGAAAAGCACUUUGGAAAGAGAGUUAAAAAGCACGUGAAAUUGUUGAAAGGGAAGCGCUUGCAAUCAGACUUGGACUUGGCUGUUCAACCGGUCUUCUGACCGGCCCACUCAGUCUUGUCCAGGCCAGCAUCAGUUUCGGCGGCCGGAUAAAGGCCCCGGGAAUGUAGCUGCCUCUUCGGGGGCAGUGUUAUAGCCCGGGGUGUAAUACGGCCAGCCGGGACUGAGGUCCGCGCUUCGGCUAGGAUGCUGGCGUAAUGGUUGUAAGCGGCCCGUCUUGA
rnacentral:rRNA from 1 species